CAGAGAAGUUAACUGAGAGGACUCAUUACAUCUUGAGAGCCUUGCAGCCUCCAGCAGGUACAGCUGCAAACACUGAACUGAAGUGCUUUCUGGACAAGAUCACACCACAUGAACUGGCCAUUUGCAGGUUAUUUGGAUUAUGAGUCAUAACAUGUCCUGAAACAGUGGGAACUGCACCAGAUGUAGCAGAAGCUCUGCUAGACCACAGCAAGAAGCUCCUCAAGUACUGAGAUCCCUUGCAGAAACC